CAGAGUUUGAUCCUGGCUCAGAAUCAACGCUGGCGGCGUGCCUCAGACAUGCAACGCUCGAACGCGAAAGCUCCCUUCGGGGAGCAAGUAGAGUGGCGCACGGGUGAGUAACACGUAGGUAAUCUACCUUUGGAUGGGGAAUACCACCGACAAAUCGGUGCUAAUACCGCAUACUGCAUCGGUACCUAAUAGGUGCAGUCGCUACUGCGGGUGAUCCAAAUAUAAUUUAAGAAAUAGAAGAAGAAGUUGUUUUUCAUCACAAUUUUAGCAUCUUCUGGCAGAUGCUGUAAUUUAGAAAGUGUGAUUUAUGUAUAUUUGGCGAGAUCCGCCCAGCGACUUGUAUUUCUUUCUAGUAACUCCCCCCCCUUACCUCGAAUACGAGCACGCAGAGGGCGAGGCUAAACGCUAUGUCGCAGAGACGGAUAAGCAU
rnacentral:rRNA from 1 species